CCUGAAGCAAAGGCGAGCCAUGUUCUAGAGCAAUGUCUUUCUUGUAUUAAAAUACGGCCCCAUGCUCACAUAUAGGCUGUUUUGUGUUUUGCUUUUCUGUUGAUGCACAAAGGAAUCCUUGAUAUGUUUGUCCUCAAAGACCAAAGACAAGUAUCUAGUAAAAAAUGCAAAUCAUAUCUAACAGUGAAGCUUUCCAGCAAAAACCUUCUGCUCUAGAAUGCAUAAUUAUGCGAGCAUAAGAUCUACUACUCUAGACUUUUAGCAUAAUUACCUAUAGGCAGCAAAACCCUAGUCAAUUGAGUGUCUGGUGCCUCUUGGACCUGGACUUCUCCAAGAGAAUGGGCAAGGAGGACGAAAAGGAAGAGACAGCUAUGCUUUGUGAAACAGGAGGUGACUUAAAAAAAAAAUUCUAUAGCAGUCUUCUUAAUUCCUGUUACAGACUUGAUACGCUUAUCUGCUGUUGAGGACACGGUUGCCAGUUUCUAACCUUCUCUGUCUGCCUGAAAAACUAGAAAUUAGAUGAUCAUAUGGCCUAGAGCCAGAAGUGCAGGAGGCAGAAAGCCAGGGGCCAGUUUUUUUCUUUUUGUUUCUGAAUAAGAAGGCCAAAUCCUGACUUAAAAUAAUCAAAAUAAAUUUUACGGAGUGACGGUCUUUCCAGCUGAAAACCUUAAAACAUGGCAUCUGGAAGAAGGCCUUAGUCUAUUGCUCCCAGGAUGGUACUAUAUAGUCAUUAAAUAGCCCACAGAUAAGGGAGUUAUUGCCCCCUCGUUAUUGGGCUGCCAGGAAUUAAAUGAUGGAACUAAGUUUCACUUGAAACAUUCCCAAAUUAAAACAAAAACAAGCCUUGCUUUGAGCUGUUGAAAAGGCAUUUUACUGAGAAGAUCCAGAUGCUAUUGCUGUUCUUAAAUGAUGUUGAAAGGCAAAGGGUCAGGACUUUCAAAAAGUCACUUUGAGGUCACCUCACAUAAGCAAGCAACAGUUUGAACUGAUGCAAAAACAAACAAUGAAAUUAUGAACAGGAGGAAGAAACUAAAAUGAGGGCAGUAUAUGCCAUAAAUAUGGAAGAGGCUGUCUCUUAUUUAUCUUCUCAUUUCCUGUACAUAAUACAGAAACCUGGUAUGUAAUAGGCAUACAAUUAUUUGUGGCUCAACUGAAUAAACGAAGAUGGAAACCAGCAAGCAGCGGGCAGAUAAUAUACUUGGGAAAGGAGAACUGCAGAGACGCUGGGUGGUUCAAGGCUUCUGCAUGAUCCUCAAAUGUCACCCCAAUCUGCUGUGACAUAGCUAUACCACUCAUCAGAAUACCCCAAAACAAAUUGUCUGCCUCCCUUAUGUACAACUUUUAUUAUUUCUUAUCUCGGUUGGUUAAGAAUAUGUAGUAAUGGCCGGGCGCGGUGGCUCACGCCUGUAAUCCCAGCACUUUGGGAGGCCGAGGCAGGAGGAUCACCUGAGGUCAGGAGUUCGAGACCAGCCUCAACAUGGAGAAACCCCGUCUCUACUAAAAAUACAAAAUUAGCCGGGCGUGGUGGUGCAUACCUGUAAUUCCAGCUACUCGGGAGGCUGAGGCAGGAGAAUUGCUUGAACCUGGGAGGCAGAGUUUGCGGUGAGCUGAGAUCGCGCCAUUGCACUCCAUCCAGCCUGGGCAACAAGAGCGAAACUCCAUCUCAAAAAAAAAAAAAAAAAAAAAAGAAUAUGUAGUAAUGGUUAAGAGUCCACUGUGGAAUCAGCCUGCAUAGGUCCAAAUCCCAGCCCUGACUGAAUACCUGUGAACAAGUUAUAUCAGUGACUCAGGCUUAUUAUCUGUAAAAUGGGGAUUAUAGCAUUCCUGCCUCAUAGGGAUGUUAUGAGAUUUAAAUACCAAUAAGUCUGUACAUUAUAAACCUUAUCAGAUUGGUGUGGUGAAAAUGCUCAGUAACUGAGCCUCGUGAGCAUUAGAAUGUUGAGAUCAGCAUGAAGUUAGCCUGUAUACUGGGCAUACACAUUCUUCUGGAUUUGCUCCUUUUGUGAGCAAUCAAUGAUGAGCUAAAGGCAUUUGCUAACUAGUAGGAAUGAAAUAAGGUUUCAGACAGGAUCUUGGUGGGUGAUGUAGAUUUUAUCUGUCCCAUUUGUCCCAUUUCUCAACUGGAAGUGAGUCUGGCCUUGGUCUGCAUCUGUGCUCUCCCCUUCACAAAAGGCAGGCCCAGAGAGACUCCAGAGAUGGCCCCUGUCUCCUGUGUGUCCUCCGCCGCUGUGUCCACUUGGGCACGUCAAAGGAGGCCUUGAUGUGCAGACGCGAUGGGGCAACGAUGAGACCGAAUAAACAAUUGACAUCUAACCCCAGAAGAAGAGCAAGGACCUGGGACCCAGAAGGAAGAGGCUGUGAGAGGUACAAACUGCAGGCAUGGACAUGAUGCAUAUAGAGGACAGCCACACUAAGCUUUGAGGCUUCUGGAGGCAACACAGAGUAACCAUUUGAAUGGAAAUCACUGAACAGACACAGAGAAAGAGAAACCAUCCAAUGACUUGAGGGUGACACCAAGUUUGCCUGGUGGCCUCAGGACUCCUGGCUCACUGGUCCCACUGUCUCCCCCCGCCCAUCAGAAUACAUGAAGGCUGGUGGGGCACGGUGGCCCAUGUCUGUAAUCCCAACACUUUGGGAGGCCAAGGCGGGCAGAUCACCUGAGUUCGAGACCAGCCUGGCCAACAUGGUGAAACCUCGGCUCUACUAAAAAUACAAAAUUAGCUGAGUGUGGUGGCACAUGCCUGUAAUCCCAGCUACUCGGGAGGCUGAGGCAGGAGAAUCACUUGAACCCAGGAGGCUGAGGUUGCAGUGAGCUGGGAUCAUGCCACUGCACUCCAGCCUGGCGACAGAGUGAGACUCCAUCUCCAAAAAAAAAAAAAAAAAAAAUACGUGAAGGCUUUCCUACCACACCAUGCAUGUGGGACACGUCAGAGUGGGAAGCUCCAUGGAUCUACAGCAAGGCUGUUCGACUAAGAGUGAAUAAAUGGGUGAAUUCCAUGGGCUGAACAUGUCAGGAAUAUUUUCUUCUUAGGGCAGCGAUCUUAACUUCUGGAGAAAUUGAGUUCCUAAGCUGUAGAGCCUUAGAACCCUGGCAUACAUUUCUGUGGAGAAACAGAAAGCCCAGACAUCCCAGUCCACACACGUCUUUCUUCUGACCAACACCAGCCAUAGGAAGCAAGGCCCGGGAGAGCACUGGGGACAGGGCAUGUCCGCCCGGAGCAGGGCAGGAGAGCACAGGCAUGUGAUGCAGCCCUGGGUCUGUCGUCCCGUUUGCGCCGGGAAUGAAUCGGGUUUUUCUAGCCUCUAAGCACAGAGGUAUUUUUGACUCAGCACCGUGAAGAGACGACAAUAGCUCAGCUUCUGCCAGCUGCCCGAUUUAGACACGAGACCUUCACUACAUAUUUCUGUCUCUUGCCCUACUCAGAAGAAGGACUUAAAAAUCCCCCAAGACGGAACUGAGUUUUCCUCUGUUCAUUUUUUUAAAUUACACUACUUGAAGAACCCCAAACAAAUAAGGCUCUGGGCCUCCAAGACCAUGUAAUCCAUUGUGCUCGUGUGGAAGAGCUGCCCCCAGUAGAGGCAACAGGAAUGGCCUGGUCACUCAGCAGGUCCCCUGCCCAUCUUCCCACCACCCCUUGCCCCACCCACCGGGAAGGAGGAGGGAGCACAGGCUGCUUUGAGCAGUCAUCGUGCCUCUACCUGGAGCCUGUACUCACUGUCUUGGGGGCCGGUAUUUCCCAGGAGGGCUAUUGUGUGUUUCCUUGUCUGUUUCUCUUUCUGGAAUGCGAGCUGUUUCAAAAUGAACUGAAGAUCAUUCACCUCCACCCCUCAGCUCUCAGCAUAGAGGUGUGCACAGAGUACAUGCUCAGUAAAUGUUUAACAGAUAUA